ensembl:lncRNA
CUGAGAAUUAGGUAGACUAGACAUUGCUGUCGCUCACGGUGAAAGAAUUUUGUCAAUACGACUUUUACUUUUCAUUUGGGAACGAUUUGUUUCGGCCUGACUUUUCUGUUCAUUUUAAGCAGCAAAAGUGAGGCGCAUGUCUGUGUACGUGUGUAUGGAGCCAUUGGGUGCGGUCACUAUAGCAACCAGGCUCACACCUGCCUGCUUAACGAGCUCUGCCUGCCACUGUACCAAGAUUCAUCUUAAGCACUUCUCUUUCAACUGCUGCUGUGUCCACAGUGUUACAGCCAUCAUUUUACCCUCAAAUUGUCGCCAUUAUUGUUCUCUUUCCAACACCGUAUCUUUCAAAGCUCAGGCAUUUAAACUUUUUAAACUGUGUGGAUCAAAGUGGAGGGAUCACAUUUGAGUCAUUCAGUGAUUCAAAGAAUAUGACCUUUUAAUAUUCAUUCAGAUGUUUUCUGACUCUAAAUGUUCUUUUCUCAUUUCUUAGGGUUUUCUAAUUUACAUUUAAAACAUUUUCAGUUUUUUUCCAACUCCUUCUUCUGUGUAACCUUCAGCUUUUAGCAGUUCAGCACCUUUGUUUUCAGGUUAAAUUCGUUUUUUUUUUUUUUUUUUUAAUCUCAUUCAAUAUUUUUAACUCAAAAUUCAGCAAUUAAUUCAUUUCAGUGCAUACAUUCAGAUUCAAGCAUUCACACUGCAGUUUCUUCAGAAAAUGCACUUUCUAGUUAUAUUUUAUUUUUCCUGUGAAUGCUUGAAAAGCAUUCACAGUAUUGUUCUUCUAAUCUUUAUUCUUAUAUUUUAUUAUCUAUUCCGUACGUUUUUUGAAAGCCUACUCCUUCAAAACCGUUCAACUUAGAAAAACCAUUCAAACACCAUUAGAUUCCUAUUAUUUUGGACAUGGUUGCUUGUAUUUUUCUCAUUUUUAACAUUUAUAUUUUUAAUUUUAUUCAACUUUAUUCAACAAAAAUUUCCCAUGUAUUUCAAUGGGGAGACCCUUCAAAUUCUCAUUCAACUUACUCAUUUUUAAACUCUUACUACUUCAACAUACGUUCACAUAGAGCCACCAUUCAAACUUUAAAACGAAGACAAGACAUUCAACUAUUCAACUUGUAUUUAUCUUUUCAAUAUCUAUUAUACUUUUUC